rnacentral:rRNA from 1 species
GACUCCUACGGGAGAGCAGCAGUGGGAGAAUCUUAGACAAUGGGCGCAAGCCUGGUCUAGCCAUGCCGCGUGAGCGAUGAAGGCCUUAGGGUUGUAAAGCUCUUUCGUGGGGGAAGAUAAUGACGGUACCCCAAGAAGAAGCCCCGGCUAACUCCGUGCCAGCAGCCGCGGUA